rnacentral:rRNA from 1 species
GAUGAACGCUGGCGGCGUGCCUAACACAUGCAAGUCGAGCGAACAGACGAGGAGCUUGCUCCUUUGACGUUAGCGGCGGACGGGUGAGUAACACGUGGAUAACCUACCUAUAAGACUGGGAUAACUUCGGGAAACCGGAGCUAAUACCGGAUUAUAUAUUGAACCGCAUGGUUCAAUAGUGAAAGACGGCUUUGCUUUCACUUAUAGAUGGUUCCGCGCCGCAUUAGCUAGUUGGUCAGGUAACGGCUUACCAAGGCGACGAUGCGUAGCCGACCUGAGAGGGUGAUCGGCCACACUGGAACUGAGACACGGUCCAGACUCCUACGGGAGGCAGCAGUAGGGAAUCUUCCGCAAUGGGCGAAAGCCUGACGGAGCAACGCCGCGUGAGUGAUGAAGGUCUUCGGAUCGUAAAGCUCUGUUAUUAGGGAAGAACAAAUGUGUAAGUAACUAUGCACGUCUUGACGGUACCUGAUCAGAAAGCCACGGCUAACUACGUG